UGCAGUCGAGCGGGGCGGCCUCGCAAGGGGCUGCUCAGCGGCAGACGGGUGAGUAACACGUGGGUAACCUGCCCGCUGCAGGGGGAUAACAGCUCGAAAGGGCUGCUAAUACCCCAUAAGCUCACGGGGGCUGAGGCUCUUGGGAGAAAAGGGGCGCCGGGAAGGAGCCCCGGCAGCGGAGGGGCCCGCGGCCCAUCAGGUAGUUGGUGGGGUAACGGCCCACCAAGCCGACGACGGGUAGCCGGCCUGAGAGGGUGGACGGCCACACUGGGACUGAGACACGGCCCAGACUCCUACGGGAGGCAGCAGUCGGGAAUCUUGCGCAAUGGGCGAAAGCCUGACGCAGCGACGCCGCGUGGGGGAAGAAGGCCUUCGGGUUGUAAACCCCUGUUGCCCCGGACGAAGGGCCACAGGAGGAAAUGCCUGUGGGGUGACGGUACGGGGCGAGGAAGCCACGGCUAACUACGUGCCAGCAGCCGCGGUAAUACGUAGGUGGCGAGCGUUGUCCGGAAUGACUGGGCGUAAAGGGCGUGUAGGCGGCCCUGUGAGUCUGGGGUGAAAACCGGCGGCUCAACCGCCGGCCUGCCCUGGAAACUGCGGGGCUAGAGUGGGCUAGAGGGCAGCGGAAUUCCCGGUGUAGCGGUGAAAUGCGUAGAGAUCGGGAGGAACACCAGUGGCGAANGCGGCUGCCUGGGGCCUAACUGACGCUGANGCGCGAAAGCUGGGGGAGCAAACAGGAUUAGAUACCCUGNUAGUCCCAGCCGUAAACGAUGANCGCUACGUGUGGUGGGGUUANACCUGCCGUGCGGAANCUANNGCAUUNANCGCUCCGCCUNGGGAGUANGGCCGCANGCUGAAACUCAAAGGAAUU
rnacentral:rRNA from 1 species